CUAAAGAUGGCGGCACCAAUAUUAAUUUGAACGGAAAUCCACUAUAGCUAUAGUAUGUAAAUCAGGUCAGUAUUUAAAGGCUAUAUACUAAAGGCUUUUAGAAUGCGAUUUGUUUGAGGUAAUAAUCAGCAAAGUGAGGAUACCAGAAGUUUAUGAUGCAGCAGAGAAAUGAAAGCGUGACUCAUGAGCUCAAUCGUGAGAGGAAAGCUGAAAGAGAGUCGUAUGAAU